rnacentral:lncRNA from 1 species
GCACGAUCUCGGCUCACUGCAAGCUCCACCUCCGGGGAUCAAGCCAUUCUCCUGCCUCAGCCUCCACGCCUGGCUAAUUUUUUGUAUUUUUAGUAGAGAUGGGGUUUCACCAUUUUAGCCAGUAUGGUCUCGAUCUCCUGCCUUUGUGAUCCGCCUGCAAAUAAGACUAAUAGGUAGCAUAGAAUACUAAUGUUCUCAAUGUAGUCUUACACAGAGAUGGGUACUACUCAGAGAAUUGAGAAGAGUGCUAAAUGAAAUAACCCAAAAAUAAUAUAAAGCCCUUGGGUUGUCUAUUU